GGGAGCAACGCGUGGGUAACCUGCCUCAUACAGGGGGAUAACAGUUAGAAAUGGCUGCUAAUACCGCAUAAGACCACAGUACUGCAUGGUACAGUGGUAAAAACUCCGGUGGUAUGAGAUGGACCCGCGUCUGAUUAGGUAGUUGGUGAGGUAACGGCCCACCAAGCCGACGAUCAGUAGCCGACCUGAGAGGGUGACCGGCCACAUUGGGACUGAGACACGGCCCAG
rnacentral:rRNA from 1 species